AUGCCAGGCCGGGAGCCGGGGGCAAAGGUCUGGGGAGCAGAUAAGGAGGAGCCGGGGGGUGGCCUCGCAGCUCCUUCCUGGCCGGCACGCAGGAAGGGCCGGGAUAUCAGCGGGGCUGGCGAGAGCUUCCCCUCGGAUGGGGUGGGAAGGGGGAGCGGAGCCACAGCUCCCCGCCGCACCGUGGGGAUUUUGGCAGCUGCGGGAGCACGUGCGCUGCCGGCCGGCAUUUCCCAGGGCUUCUCCAUCGCCCAGCCCACGCGGGAGGCUGGCGGCUUUGGGGAAACGUGGGGAUCCCCUCCCGUUGCGUCCAUCGCAGAAGGGCGAUCGCUGUCCCGCAUCGCGGUCAGCCCUUCCCAUCACGCGCUGCUCCGAAACCGAAUCCAACCGGCAUCGCCUAGCCGGGAGGCCCCCUGGGAACAGGGUGGGGGCUGGCAGCACGAAGGUGGCCCGAAAUACGGCACAUCCACCCUUGGGGGGUCUCAGUUCCCCAUCCCGGACCCGUCUCCGUCCGCUCGCCGGGCGCCCCAGCGGACGAGCGCCCACAAACCCAAUCUGGGAGGCGGAACCCCGACCGUAACCCCAUCGGCGGGUCGGUUUGGAGAUAGCGGGGCGAUAGGGCGCGGGGUACCCACACGGCACGCCUGGCCUCGCCGGGCUGCCAGGGCGCUGGCGGCCCCGGCGCGGAGAUGCCGAGGGGGAGAUAGACGGCUGUAUUUGCUCCUUGGGGUUUUGAUAACCAUCGCGAAACCGCUCGAGCGUCGCUCUUGUGGUUGCCAAGAUGUUUGCAAAGUGCCCUCGCGAGCACGGGGUGAUGCAGGAUGGGGUCCAAACCUGCCCUGCGCCGGGGGGCGCGAUGCCAGCCAUGGUGCCGGCAUCCCCGCCGCUCCCGGCUCGGUUUUUACCACCGAGGUGAAAACGUUGGGGACGUGGGGGACCACAACCAUCAUCUCGUAUCUCCUCUCUCAGCAGAAGUGCUGGUAUUUGCAGCCUGCCCAGCUCCCAGUGCUCCCAGUCCUCCUCAUACUGGUUUUUGCAAGAGGGGGCGAAUGCCUGGGGGCUGCUCCAGCCCGCGGUCCAGCCAGGAUGGAGUGGGACGACCAGCCACACAUCGGGGACUCACCUGGCCCGUUCCAGGUGUCCAGCUCCUGCGGGUUUUCUCCGGGAUCCGGCUUCUCCGGCUCCUUCGGACUCUCCAGGGCGUCUCUGGACUCUGCAGCAGGAGAGGGAAGGCAGCAGUGUGGAAGAUUAGCGCCCAAAGUACAUGUUUGCCUUGGCGUCCCGGGCGGAUAACCAGCGCGGAGCCCAAUCGAUCGGCGCCAGAGCGAACACCCAGGGGUGACGUCACCGGCAUUGGAGAUUAUUAAUACAGGUGAUAAGCAGAAUGAUUAACAUCAAAUAAAUCAAUCACCGGGUAUAAAAGUCCUAUUAUUUUUGGCUAUAAAUCAAAGUGCCUGGCAUAUCGAUUUUUAUCCAUCGUGCUGAAAGCUUUAGUGGCCGUUAUUGCUGCUCGGCGUUAUCUCUGCUAUCACCUUUUUAUCGAGGCAGGCUAGUGCCAGGUGCAGCUCCGCGCCCGGGCUCCCGGCUCCCUCGCCCCCAGCCCGGCUCCCCCAUCAGAUAAGAGCCGCUCGCUUCUCCCUGCUGCCGAGCAAAGUUUGCCGGCGAGCCCUCCCUACCC
rnacentral:lncRNA from 1 species